GACGAACGCUGGCGGCGUGCUUAACACAUGCAAGUCGAACGGAAAGGCCCUGCUUUUGUGGGGUGCUCGAGUGGCGAACGGGUGAGUAACACGUGAGUAACCUGCCCUUGACUUUGGGAUAACUUCAGGAAACUGGGGCUAAUACCGGAUAGGAGCUCCUGCUGCAUGGUGGGGGUUGGAAAGUUUAGGCGGUUGGGGAUGGACUAGCGGCUUAUCAGCUUGUUGGUGGGGUAGUGGGUUACCAAGGCUUUGACGGGUAGCCUGCCUGAGCGGGUGACCGGCCACAUUGGGACUGGGCUACGGCCCAGACUCCUCCGGGAGGCAGCAGUGCGGAAUAUUGCACAAUGGGCGGAAGCCUGAUGCAGCAACGCCGCGUGCGGGAUGACGGCCUGCGGGUUGUAAACCGCUUUCGCCUGUGACGAAGCGUGAGUGACGGUAAUGGGUAAAGAAGCACCGGCUAACUACGUG
rnacentral:rRNA from 1 species